ensembl:lncRNA
CUAACUCUCAGGAAGCCAGACUUCCGGCCCCUCCCCCAGCCCUGGGAGCAGCCGGAGCCCUGUGGGUGCAGUCAGAUCGCGAUGGGAACCAGCCAUCACAUCUCUGACAGUCCCGCAGGCCUGCUGACAGGAAAGCUGCGGAACCAAGGGAAGCAGCUUCUGACUGGAAAAGUGAAAGGAGCCAAAAGCCAAAAGGCUCAGAUUACUUGUAGGGGCUGGUCUGGGAGGCCCUCGUCCAAGCUCUCAGCUCAGAGGAGAUGACAAAGAGACUGAAGACAAGGAAGGUGAAAUCGAACCUGUCCUGGCAGUUGCUGAUCCAGUCGCCACCGCAAGGAGGAAGUCACUGCUGCGUGUGCUUCUGAAACUUCCAGCCAAGACCCAGAAUCGCAGAGUGGGGCCACAGCUUCUAGGCCAGCCAACAGGCAGCUGGGAACCAUGGGCUUCAGCAGGCUGCCCUGGAGUGGGAGGCAGGGCCCCUGCACCUCAAGGCUGCCGGCAGCACCUGGAGGACGAAAGACAUUGGAGGAAGUAAAGGUAAUCUUGCUUUGCACAGCAGCACAGGACCAUAAACAUAACCAUGCCAGCUGACGCCAUUCAAACUGACCUAAAUAGUCAAAGGGAAAAAUGAGGAU